AGUGAACGCUGGCGGUAGGCCUAACACAUGCAAGUCGAACGGCAGCACAGUAAUAGCUUGUUCUUACGGGUGGCGAGUGGCGGACGGUUGAGGAAUACAUCGGAAUCUACUUUUUCUUGGGGGAUAACGUAGGGAAACUUACGCUAAUACCGCAUACGAACUACGGGUGAAAUCAGGGGAUCUUCGGACCUUGCGCGAUUCAAUGAGCCGAUGUCGGAUUAGCUAGUUGGCGGGGUAAAGGCCCACCAAGGCGACGAUCCGUAGCUGGUCUGAUAGGAUGAUCAGCCACACUGGAACUGAGACACGGUCCAGACUCCUACGGGAGGCAGCAGUGGGGAAUAUUGGACAAUGGGCGCAAGCCUGAUCCAGCCAUACCGCGUGGGUGAAGAAGGUCUUCGGGUUGUAAAGCCCUUUUGUUGGGAAAGAAAAGCAGCAGGUUAAUACCCCGCUGUUCUGACGGUACCCAAAGAAUAAGCACCGGCUAACUUCGUG
rnacentral:rRNA from 1 species